rnacentral:rRNA from 1 species
GAUGAACGCUGGCGGCGUGCUUAACACAUGCAAGUCGAACGGAGCGUCUUUGAUAGAGGAUUCGUCCAAUUGAUAAGAUUGCUUAGUGGCGGACGGGUGAGUAACGCGUGAGGAACCUGCCUUGGAGUGGGGAAUAACAGUUAGAAAUGACUGCUAAUACCGCAUAAUGCAGUUGGGUCGCAUGGCCCUGACUGCCAAAGAUUUAUCGCUCUAAGAUGGCCUCGCGUCUGAUUAGCUAGUUGGUAGGGUAACGGCCUACCAAGGCGACGAUCAGUAGCCGGACUGAGAGGUUGGCCGGCCACAUUGGGACUGAGACACGGCCCAG